rnacentral:rRNA from 1 species
GAUGAAACGCUGGCGGAAUGCUUUACACAUGCAAGUCGAACGGCAGCACGGGGGCAACCCUGGUGGCGAGUGGCGAACGGGUGAGUAAUACAUCGGAACGUGCCCAGUCGUGGGGGAUAACUACGCGAAAGCGUAGCUAAUACCGCAUACGAUCUACGGAUGAAAGCGGGGGAUCGCAAGACCUCGCGCGAUUGGAGCGGCCGAUGGCAGAUUAGGUAGUUGGUGGGGUAAAGGCUCACCAAGCCUGCGAUCUGUAGCUGGUCUGAGAGGACGACCAGCCACACUGGGACUGAGACACGGCCCAGACUCCUACGGGAGGCAGCAGUGGGGAAUUUUGGACAAUGGGCGCAAGCCUGAUCCAGCCAUUCCGCGUGCAGGAUGAAGGCCCUCGGGUUGUAAACUGCUUUUGUACGGAACGAAAAGGCUCUUUCUAAUACAAGGGGCUCAUGACGGUACCGUAAGAAUAAGCACCGGCUAACUACGUGCCAGCAGCCGCGGUAAUACGUAGGGUGCAAGCGUUAAUCGGAAUUACUGGGCGUAAAGCGUGCGCAGGCGGUGAUGUAAGACAGUUGUGAAAUCCCCGGGCUCAACCUGGGAACUGCAUCUGUGACUGCAUCGCUGGAGUGCGGCAGAGGGGGAUGGAAUUCCGCGUGUAGCAGUGAAAUGCGUAGAUAUGCGGAGGAACACCGAUGGCGAAGGCAAUCCCCUGGGCCUGCACUGACGCUCAUGCACGAAAGCGUGGGGAGCAAACAGGAUUAGAUACCCUGGUAGUCCACGCCCUAAACGAUGUCAACUGGUUGUUGGGUCUUCACUGACUCAGUAACGAAGCUAACGCGUGAAGUUGACCGCCUGGGGAGUA